GCCUUAUCCUAGAGGAUUAAAAUUAGUACAUGUUUCAGUCAUGUACUUCAUCUAUAGGAACAGAAAAUUAUGCAAAAACUGCAUCUGUAAUAUGCGUAAGCAAGGAAAGAAGACCAACUUUGCUGAUGCAGCGGCUUUGCCAUGUUAAAGGAAAAGAUUGAAGCAACACCUGAGGAUAGGCAGGCUGUGAUGCCAUCAGAAUUGGUGAAACAAAGUAAACUCAGGGAAACAAAGCUAGGCAGGCUGUGAUGGCCACACAAAAAGCUAAGAAUAGUAAUUUUGGGGGGUGAUUAGUGGAUACCCUUUUCAAAUGUUUUCGCACCUUGUAGUAGUAGUUAUUUGUAUGAUGAGCCACUAUCACCAGCACCCCCACCACCAUUUGUCUUCUUGCCUCUGCUAAUGUAAGCAAUACCUGACUGGCUAUGGGACCUCCCUCUUUGCUUCGCCAUGAAUGGAGCCUGUUCAGACAAGGUCAACCACUGUCAAGAAUU
rnacentral:misc_RNA from 1 species